rnacentral:rRNA from 1 species
UACGUAGGGUGCGAGCGUUAAUCGGAAUUACUGGGCGUAAAGCGUGCGCAGGCGGUUCGCCAAGUCAGGUGUGAAAUCCCCGGGCUUAACCUGGGAAUUGCGCUUGAAACUAGCGGGCUUGAGUGUGGCAGAGGGGGGUGGAAUUCCACGUGUAGCAGUGAAAUGCGUAGAGAUGUGGAGGAACACCGAUGGCGAAGGCAGCCACCUGGGUCAACACUGACGCUCAUGCACGAAAGCGUGGGGAGCAAACAGG